rnacentral:rRNA from 1 species
UACAGAGGGGGCGAGCGUUGUUCGGAAUUACUGGGCGUAAAGGGCGCGUAGGCGGCCCGCUAAGUCGAACGUGAAAUCCCCAGGCUCAACCUGGGAACUGCGUCCGAUACUGGCAGGCUUGAAUCCGGGAGAGGGAUGUGGAAUUCCAGGUGUAGCGGUGAAAUGCGUAGAUAUCUGGAGGAACACCGGUGGCGAAGGCGGCUUACUGGUCCGGUUCUGACGCUGAGGCGCGAAAGCGUGGGGAGCAAACAGG